AGUGCCCCAAACCACAAGGACAGGCGGGAGGAGACUCUGGGAGUCUGUGAAGGGAAGGGGAUGGGCCUGGGUUCUGGUCCUAACUCCCCUGCCGGCCAGUGGGCAGCUGCAGCUCACAGGCCUGUUUGCCCAUCUAUGCUCCUCCCACCUCGCAUCACGGACUAAGGGUAGGAGAGGGCCUGGAGCCCAAGAAGUCCUGGCCAAUGCUACUGUUACACUGGAGUGUGCCUGCUGUCAACUGGGGGCUCUGUGCAGCCAUGUGGCCUUGGGGAGCAGGUUACUGGACCCCUCUGAAUCACAAGAAUAACAAGCCGAGGCAGAAGGGCCAGGAAGAGGGAGCUGGUCACACCGCCUGGAGUGUCUGGCCCCACUCCAGGGGCACAGGUGGAAUGUGCCAGAAAGGGCGAAGAGAGCAGGUCCCUGGACCUGCCCUGUGGCUGCAGGUAUAUUAAUAGUGCCUGGGUCCCAGGCGGGCAGUGCCCACAUGCCUUUGGAGCCCAUGUAGUCUGCAGGAAGGCAGCAGUGUGCCUACUGGGAGAGCAGGCCUCCGAGUUCCUGCUGAACCACUCAACAGCUUAAAAUACAACCAGCCCCUCUCCCUGCCGGCCAGCUGCCGGGGGAGGGCUGAAAUCCUACCCUCUCCCCCCAGCCCGGGCACUGGACCAGGACUCAGGAACAGAGGAUGGGCCGUCGGGGGCCCAGACUGACUGCUGGGAAAGGAAGCUGGGAGGCAGGAGGGGGCGGCCGAGACAGGGGCCACACUCCCAGCAGCCGCCACCGCAGCUGCUGCCGCUGCCGCACCCAGGCCAGCACCUAGGCCAGCCACACAGCCAGGCCAGCCCACGGCGGAGAGGAGCAGCAGCACCCUCACAAGAGAAAUAUCGAAGUCACACUGCUCAUGCCAGGGCAUCUGAGAAGACCCUGGGUUCAGCUGCCAAGAAGCCAGCACAGGCCACACCUGCUCCGCCAGAAAUACCUCCUUCCCCAGUGGCCUCAGCUCAUGACCCCGCUUCUCCGAGGUGCCUGGGGCAACUGCAUCAGCCUCCGUGAGAACUGAACAUGGAGUUCCUAUGCUGGCUCAGUGGUUAAGGAACCCGACUUGUACCCAUGAGGAUGCAGGUUCGAUCCCUGGCCUCACUUAAUGGGUUAAGGAUCCAGCAUUGCGAUGGCUGUGGUGUAGCCGGCAGCUAUAUCUCCACUUCGACCCUAGUCUGGGAACCUCCAUAUGCCGCAGGAGCAGCCCUAAGAAGACAAAAAAAAAGAAAAAGAAAAGAAAAGGAACUGAACGCUCUUUCUCUGGGGCUGUCUCUAUAGCCCCAGAUCCCCAGAGGACGGUCCAGAUCUACACCUCUGCAUCCCCUGGCAGGGUCAAGGAUGGUGACCACAUCUGGUCUCUCUGUAUCUCUGGGCUGGAGGCGCUGUCAGGUCAGGAAGCUGGAAGAGGCGGAGAAGCUGAGCCCUGCGGACACAGGCUGACUGCAGACUGACCAGGGCAGCAGAAGGCCAACCCCGCACCUGGGCCCAGCACGUCCAGCCCAGGUGCAGCAAGCAGAUUCUGUCCCUUGAACCUUCAUCAACUGUCAAAACUUCCCAAGACCCAGAGACCUGGCAUCAGGGAUAUGGUGAGAAGUUCCCAAAGGUAGAGCACUGAUUCACAGGGGAGGAGGGCGGGGAGAAGGUGAAUCAAUGCCUGGCACUUAGUCAUCCAGGUUAGGCUUGAGAAACUUCGGAGGCUGCAGCCUUUGGGGACUUCGUCUCCAAGUAAAGGAAGCUAAGAUUGUGGUCUUCA